AUGGAGAGGUUCUUGCGUGAGCCUAUCAACUUUGGUUCCCUCUGAAGGAUAUUAUAACCGCCAAGUGACCAUUUCAGUUUCCUUGUGCACCAAUUGGGUUAUUCCGAGAACUGCAAAGAAUAAUUAAUGGUCUUUUUGUUUUGCCUCUGUUUUCUUCUACUCUUGACAUUAUAUGAUGGAAUGCAUCCAUUCACAAUAAAAGAAACUUUCUCGGCAUUUAUUAUUUUUUAUCUGGGAAAAUUACUAAAAUACCGUUUGUAUGGCCUUUUGUGUAUGGUUGCUUUGACCUUAUAUGAUGGAAUGCAUCCAUUCACAAUAAAAGAAACUUUCUCGGCAUUUAUUAUUUUUUAUCAUAAAUGGCCCAGGUAUUUAAAAGUUACACUUUGACUCACUUGGACAGAUUAAUGCAGAUAUAUAAUGUCUCUUUGCAUUACCUAUUAUGUAUUAUGCUUCUAUCCUGUUUCCUGUUUUGUUUAGGUUUUUUCAAGUGUUCAUCCCACCAUACAACCCAAUGCCGAAUGUGUUUCAAUGCUCUCUUUACUUCUCUAGCUCUCCUUGCUUCUCCAUGUUCCUCACGUGAUGUAUGUGCGUGCUGCUUAGCUUUGUUCACCACGGUUGCUAGAUGCCGCCAAUGCGUGAGAACUCGUUUAUUUGAGCAGAUAAAGGUGAUUUUGUGACCAAACGAUAGAGCUUAUUCGAUGCAGGGAUGUGCUUCGCUAUGAUGGGUUGAGUAGGAAGUUUCUUGAUUAUUUCAUAUAUAUAUUUAUAUAUAUAUGCGCGCUUGCGUGUAUAUACCAAUAACAAUGUGUAACAGAGGCGAUUUUUUGUUGUCUAACAAAGUAAUUUGUUGCUUGGAACAGUCUUACAAAGCUGAAAGCAUAUUUUUCCUAAAUGGGUGUUUUUUUUAAGGUACUUGACAAAAAAUAUUUUCUGUUAGUGCCAAUGAACAAUAGUGUGUCGUUGAUGCCCACUUAGCCAGUCUUUUAAUUUCUGGAUCCAAUAGAUGUGUGCUUUGUUCAAA
rnacentral:lncRNA from 1 species